CAGCCAAACACGAGCUGCCCGCCUUUAAUGUCUUGACAAGGCUUUUCAUGUAGCUUUGCCAGGCUGCUGAUUUUAAUAGAAGGACUCGGAUAUAACAGCGUUUUAAAAAGUGCUCUUAUUGCCAUUUCCUCACAUGAAGUUCCCUGAGCAGCUGGUCUGAAUGUCACAGUACCCUCAUCUGUUCCGUGAGAGCCCAAGUGCCUCCUUGAGAACUAUGAAAAUAGCAGCUGAGAACAAGAGGAAGAAGCUGCUCAAGUUUUUACAGCACUAGCUCCAAGUGGAAUGAUUGCACCCUCGGUUUGUUUCAAUGAGUGAAAUGAAAGUAUUUCCGAAUGCAGAUGGGAACAAGAGCUUGAAGAUGAGAUAGGACGCAUAGAAGAAUGAAGAAGUGUCCAAGACCUGAGCUGAGUUCACACAUCUGCCUCACAUCUCGGUUCUAAAUCAGGCUAACUGGUGGUUGUAUGCCAGCUUGGAAACCAUCACAACAUUGGAUCAAGUCUGAACAAAGGGAAGAACAGGGUGAGAGAAAAAAAGAAGUUUGAACAAGGAACUUGCUGAUACCUGCUUUUAAGUCUAUACUCAAAGCCAAAGAGGAUUUGAUAAUGCCAGUAUAUUGAAGCAGUUCAUUGUCUUGCUUUUCUUCUUUUCUUUUGUUUUAAAACAAGAAAAGUUUAUUGGGAAGUAAGAGGACUAUAUGUUACAUGGGAGGGAACUGGAAAAGGGGCUGCCUAAGACAACAUUCCACUGGGAAUUGAACCCAGGAUUUUCUGUUCAAGAGUCAGGUCCUUUAACCUAUUAAGCCUUAGAGAUGCCUGGCAGUUGUUAAGUUUCAAUUGAUUUACUUCAAAAUUAGAGAUUCUGCAUUAUGUUUCACUGAAAGUGAAAACAUUAAGGUACACUUGUGGCUUGUGUGCCAGUUUGGCACAGUGCAAAGAGUGGGCUUUGGGGCCAAAACCCUUAGGUAUGUGUCCAUACUGUUCUACUUCCUCACCAUUGUUCUCAUUUGCAAAAUGGAAAAAAAAAUCUCCCUUUAGGUAAGCGCUCUAGUGACAAAUAGUUGCUUAUUUUACUCUACAAGUUUUAAUGACUAAUGAGUACAAAGUUCACUUAUUUUAACAUAAAAAUUAAUCAGUUGGAAUGGAUAAGAUCAUGUUUAUGAGAGAGAUGCCUGUUGUACUCUGCCGUGAUACAAGCAUAGUAGCUAUUGGGUCAAAACACAAGGGAAAUUGUAAAUAUUCAACAUUUAUUUUUCCUGAGGUUCAUAAGGCUCUUUGGUUUUAUUUCCUUUCUGCUUUCAUAAAAAUAUACGGUAAAAUAUAAUUUUUGGAAAGUUGGAAAUAUGAAUCUUGUGCAAAUAUAAAUGAGUAUUCAUCAAUAUUUUUAUCCAAGUCACUUUUAAAGUUAAAGAACCAAUAUAAGGGUAAAACUAUGUCCAAGAGUAUUUGAGAAACAAAAGUAUAUGUGUUUGCUUGCGUGUGUACAUAUACAUGGAUCUAGCUAUCAUCUGUCUAUCUAUCUAUCUAUCUAUCUAUCUAUCUAUCUAUCCAUCUAUAUAUCUACCUAUAAUAUAUCGGUGUAUUACCUUAUCUGUCAGUGGCUUUAAAAUAAUAUAUUAGAAGGAUGUUAAAAAAGGUUUGCUCUAUCUUUUCACCUUUGCUUUUAAUUGUUAGACAUUCUUUUUAAACUCUGGGACCACCCUGGUAUUGUACUUAGUGUUGCAAAAUCACUUCUUUAUGUUUUAAAAACAUCUUUGAGACUUUGUAAAAUGUAAUAUGACAUGUGCAUUAUAAUACAUUCAAUUAACACUCUUAAAUUUAGAAAGACUUUUGGUAAUUUAAUUCUGUUGUUCUAAAAAUAAUAUAUAGGUCAUGAGAAACAAGGAAAUAGAGUUAAGAUGGAGUUUAUAACAAUUCUUUUGGGUCAUUUGAAUUAAUCUUAGGAACCAUAUUUCUAGAACCACUUCCUAUAUUCAAUUUUAUAAAUUCACAAUGUAGGAUAUCUCUUAAGAGUAAAUGAACCGGUACAGGCGAUUUUGAAAGGUAUUUGUUGAGAAAUAGCCAUGAUUAUUAGAAACAACCUUGUAGCUGGGGCAGACAUAUUACAGCUCUCAUUUUAAGGAUAAAGAAUGUGAAUUAGGAAGUGGUUCAGCAGCAGGGCCAGGGCUGUAAAUCAGUGCUGCUACCCAGCUCUGAUCUAUUGGGCCUGACAGAAGGGAGAUGCUUGUGGAUGCAGCCGCUAGUUUCCAGAUGAGUUAUGCUCCUGAGGAUCAUUUGUAGGUUCAUUGUUUUGAGCUGGACACAUUUCUUUUCAUAGAUAUUGUGAGAUGACUAAAGCUUGUAUUUCAAGUCCAGCUUGCCAAAACCUUACCCCAUCAUGUGUCUAUACCAUAGACAUACGGGGCUGUGUCACUGUUAGUUUCUACUGGAGAAUUAGAGUUCAAAGUUGUCAUUUGAGGUGUAUUUUAUGCUGUGUCUCCCUCCUCACUUUCCAUGGAAGCACUAGGAUUGUGGCUCAGUUUCCAACACCUCACAGCUGUAGAUGCUCCGCUGGUAGCAGCCAACUGGAGAGAGAUGCCCACCAUAGUUUUUGGAAGGAGUUUUUAAUACAGAAUGCAGCACAGCCAGGAACAGGCUUCUCUGAGGGACAGAGAUUGGACUUUUGUGGAAGACUGGACCACAGCCUAUGGUGUGUUGACAGAAGCAGUCUAUAAAAUAGUGUGUGUGUGUGUGUGUGUGUGUG